GAUGUUGAAAUGAUGAAUAUCUUCAUGUCUCUUCUCUGAUUGAUGCUGAAGAGAACAUUUAAGCUAUCUGAUCUCUACU
ensembl:snoRNA